UUUUGAACUGUGACACGAGGAUUUUCAGUCCUCUGCUCUACCAGCUGAG
rnacentral:tRNA from 2 species